UCCAUUUGUGAGAUGCUUAUUGAGCACCUGCUGUGUGCCGGGCUCUGUGAACGCGACCGCCCCCAGGGAGCCCCCACCGGCUGGAGAGGCCGACGAGUGGACCAGCCGCCUUGACUCAGCAGCCGUGUGGGCGGCCAUCGCCCAGAGUGGGAGACUGGUCUAGCUGCAGAGGCAGAAGCUUCAGGAAGAAUUGACAGCCGAGCUGAGGCCAGAAGCGGGAGCUGGUGGCCGAGGGCGCUGGGGGCAUCUGCAGUAUAGAACAUUCCAGAAUCCUGAAGACUUCUCCUUCAGCCAGAGGACAGCUUGCCAGCCCCUCCCCGACUGGCUGAUAAAUGCCGACCGCGGCCCCCCUGCUCCCGAGCUGCCUUAAUUGGUAUCAGGACGUGCCUGGACUCCAUCCUCCGGCCCCCCCCUUCCUCCUCUCCUGCCACUGCCUCCAGCCUCUGGUGGGGCUCACCUGCUGCCACAGCCCCAGGAGGAGGUGGGGAGACCAGUAACGACAGCUCCAUUUAUGUGGCACCGACUGUGUGCCCAGCCUGUGCUGACGAAGCCCUCUGCCUGCCCUCACUCCUCCCCACACAGCCCCACGAGGUCGGGGAAUCAUCCUCCUUUCCCAUCCGCACACACAGGAAGUGUCCCCUGGGCCCUCCACAUGCCCCCCCAGGCUGGGAGCUGGGGAUACUCAGGGGACCAGCCAGACUCGGCAGACCAGACUGCCUCCCCCCAGGAGCUCCCUGAUAGCUGGCAGGAAGGGCUUCUUCCCAGACAGUUGGCCUGGGAGGGCUUAAGAGUGAACCCCUUGCCAUUAUAGGAAGUUCAGAGAGGUUUGGCAACCUACCUAAGAUCACACAGCUAGAAAAGGAGGGAGAGAGAGCAAGGUUGCCCUCAAAACAACCACACGGUUGGUCCUCAAAGUCACGGGGGACAAAUCACUUGGGCACAAGUGAGAAACUCAAAUGCCUCCUCCUGAGAUUCUGAAUGAGGGUCUGGGAGCCCCAAGAAUCUGCAUGGAUGUCAGGCUCCCCAGAGAUGGGCCACUCGGGACUCUGGCUCUCCACACUGAUGGAGAACUUGGGGGGAGGGCAAAGCAGGGUGAAAUGAGAAUGACAUUUCAUUCAUUCAUUCAAUGAGCACUUACUGAGCAACCGCCUUGUGCCAGGCCUCCCCCUGGACGCUGGCAGGACCAACCGUGUGAUUUUCAGGGUCUACACGAGAGGAAAACAGGCCCCCCUUGUCCAAAGUGUAUUAAGAAUUUCAAGAUGGCAACAGCAGAGCGUUCAACCAUCUGGGGCCCUGAGAGACCUCGCAGGCUGCUCGCCCGUGAAGCCAGCCCCGCUGCUGGGGGCCCGUGCGGGAAGACAGCCAAGCCGCCGAGCCCCGAUCCCGAUCGGACCCCCGCCCCUUAACUGGAAUUCUGAAAUGGA